UAAAAAGAUGCUUUACUGGAAACUGCAGAGAAACUUCAGCUUCCAUCAGAGAAACCAGUUUAACCAGUUUAGAACUAUUAGAUAGAACUGGAUCUAUCUAAUAGUCAUUCUAAAUAUAUUUAAGUAAUUAAGUUUUGUAUAGUUAUUAUAGUAACUACUUUAUUUUAUUCCUCCAUGCUAUUUAGCUUAUUGUACUCAUAUAUUUUAAGUUUGUAUCUUUUGUUUGACAGUUUCUUUUAAUAAAAUCAAAAACAUCCAUUUCAGUUGAUCUGAUAAUUUUGUAAGCUUCUAAUUUAAGGCAACAGCUUAUUUUUGCAUUAUUUAGACUGAAGUUGCUUAAAUAAAAUACAUGACAAUCAUUUAAUUAAUCGAUAUUGUUUUUCCUCCAAGUUUCUUAGUUAAGCUGCUUCAAACUAUAACAGUAGUUAUUUUACUUCCCUGUGUUUUAUUUUGAAAGAUCGCACAGGAAACGUAUUUGUAAUUUUUCCAACUUUAUUGUAGUUGCAAUCAUAGACAUAAUAUAAGGGUAGACGCCGCAUUGGCCUCUCCGGCGCAGGAAAUACGGCGGCCAUCUUAGAGCGGUAUACCCUCGUACUUUGCUGAACCAAAACAACAGAAGAUGCCUCAGUUCUGCUCGGCUUAUUCGUGUUUAAAUCUACGAACUGUUGAUGUCAGGGACCGGGGGAUAACUUUUCAGAAGUAAGAAUGACAUAUUAUUGUUAGUAUGUUGUGAAUGUAAUAUUACUGUACUGUAUUUAUGCCCACCAGCGAAAUGACAGCAAAUGUUAGCUAUCGGUCUUCAGCCGGAGAUUUGAUGACAGGAAUAUGUUUCAAACAGGCCUACUCACAAUUUCAGUAGCUUUGUUUAAUUAUCAUUAUCAACAAAUUUUAAUCAAAUUUGGAGUUUUAUGUUCUUUAAAAUAUGAAGGUCAAAAAUAGUGAGUGUAACGUUUUUCUGAAUGCUCAGCUUAAGCAGGUAACAAGGCUCCUUAGUUUCAACCGUUGCAAAUAACAUGGACCUCAUUCGGACAAUGUUUUUGUGUACACACUCCCAGAUAUCACGUUUUUGUUUUAAAGGUUUCCAAAAGAUAAAGAGAGGAGGAAGAGGUGGGAAAUAGCUUUGAGGAGGGAUGGAUUCACUGCAAGUGAUUCAUCUGUACUAUGCAGUGAGCAUUUCAAAACGGAGGAUUUUGACAAAACAGGUCAGAUUGUCAGACUGAGAGCUGAUGUGAUACCAUCAAUUUUCAGCUUCCCAGUUCACCUUCAAAGAGUUGAAAACUACAGAACUACAAUAACCUCCACAAAAGCCCAAAGUAGUGAGUAUGUGGCCUCUCAAGAUGACCCAGAAACUUGUAGUUCAGACCUGCAACCUCAGUCUAAUGAUGAUCAUUGCUAUGCUUUGCCAGCUUCUCUUACCGCUGUCACUGCAAAACAUAAGAGAGCGUUGGCAAGAGUGGAAUAUCUGGAGCGGGACAAGAAAAACACCAUGGCCAGAGAGAAGAGGGCAAAGACCACAGCAAAGUCACUUUUGGGGGAAUUGAGUGAAAAAAAUCUCAUUACUGAAGAACUCAAAGAACGGCUUGAAUUCUACUCUGCAUUUGUGCAUUAUAUGUAUGUAUAUAUAUAUAUAUAUAUAUAUAUAU